rnacentral:rRNA from 1 species
UACGUAGGGUGCGAGCGUUAAUCGGAAUUACUGGGCGUAAAGUGUGCGCAGGCGGCACCGCAAGUCGAGUGUGAAAGCCCCGGGCUUAACUUGGGAAUUGCGCUCGAAACUAUGGUGCUGGAGUGUGGCAGAGGAAGGUGGAAUUCCAGGUGUAGCGGUGAAAUGCGUAGAGAUCUGGAGGAACACCGAUGGCGAAGGCAGCCUUCUGGGCCAACACUGACGCUCAUGCACGAAAGCGUGGGGAGCAAACAGG